rnacentral:rRNA from 1 species
GACGAACGCUGGCGGCGUGCCUAAUACAUGCAAGUUGAGCGAUGAAGCUUGGUGCUUGCACCAAUUUGAAGAGCAGCGAACGGGUGAGUAACGCGUGGGGAAUCUGCCUUUGAGCGGGGGACAACAUUUGGAAACGAAUGCUAAUACCGCAUAACAACUUUAAACAUAAGUUUUAAGUUUGAAAGAUGCAAUUGCAUCACUCAAAGAUGAUCCCGCGUUGUAUUAGCUAGUUGGUGAGGUAAAGGCCCACCAAGGCGAUGAUACAUAGCCGACCUGAGAGGGUGAUCGGCCACAUUGGGACUGAGACACGGCCCAAACUCCUACGGGAGGCUGCAGUAGGGAAUCUUCGGCAAUGGACGAAAGUCUGACCGAGCAACGCCGCGUGAGUGAAGAAGGUUUUCGGAUCGUAAAACUCUGUUGGUAGAGAAGAACGUUGGUGAGAGUGGAAAGCUCAUCAAGUGACGGUAACUACCCAGAAAGGGACGGCUAACUACGUG